rnacentral:rRNA from 1 species
AUGUACAUGCCUACAACAUAGCGUUAAUGCACUGAAUCCCAUUAGAACUUCAUAGUUAAGUGCACUUGGGAUAGAGUAGUAUUGGGAUGGGUGAUCGCCCGAGAAGUCCUAGUGUUUUACAUU